UUGAGGAUCAAUUUCUUACUGUUUCAAAUACGAGUCUUCGCCAUCUACAUUGUGUCAGAAAAAAUGAUGCCAAAAACGAUUACGUAUACGAAGAAGCCUACGUCGAUUUAUUAGUAUUUCAUGAUUUUUUUAGUUAUUUAGAUCACGGAAAACAGGAUUGUGUAAUUAACACAACCGUACAUGACAUAUAUUAUGAAAUAAAAUACAUUUUUAUGUAAUAUUUUAGUUACAAGUUCAUUUCAUGAUCGAUAUUUCACUAAUAUCUAGAAUAUAAGACGAGCAGUUUUGCUUUAUUUUUUUUAUAAUUAAAUUAACGCAGAACAUGUAUCCAAUCCGAAGAGUUCUCUUAAUAUUUCUUUUGUGGUUUGAGUUGGUGCAAAAUCAGUCGAACGGUUACAUAGUUGGAGCUUGCGUGGACCCGUAUUCACAGCUGUAUUCGUAUGAACAGCCUGUUUACGAUUACUCUCAGUAUUUACAGAUCGCUUAUGCCAACCCUUACUCUCAACAAUAUCCUAUCCAAUCUAACUACCAACAAUAUUACUAUCCCUACCAAGAUGAUUCACAAAAACCUAUAGUUAUUAUCCUGGAAAACGAAGAUCGCGACGAAUUAUUAGAAAUAAUAUCUCUAAUAGUUUCUAUGAAGGAUAAAUCUGAUAACGAACCAAUUUACAUACCAUAUCCAGUAUCAGUGACGAACAACGAUUAUUAUUACGAUUUCGACUGUGACUGUGAUUGCUAUUCGAACUGCGGUUGCAAAAAGAAGGGUAACCAUAAAUCGUGUAAGAACGAUGGACCGUACUGCGACAGCAGUUGUGAUGACUGCGGUGAAUGCAGAAAGAGA